CAACCUUCUGGCCCUUUCAAUACAGUUCCUCAUGUUGUGACCCAACCAUAAAAUUAUUUUCGUUGCUACUUUAUAACUGUAAUGUUGCUACUGUUAUGAAUCGUCAUGUAAAUAUCUGAUAUGCAGGAUGGUCUUAGGCGACCCCUGUGAAAGGGUCGUUCGACUGCCAAAGGGGUCGCGACCCACAGGUUGAGAACCGCUGCUUUAGACCCUUAAAAGAUGAGCUGAAUCCUGCCUCUUGAAUAUUGUCACAUCUGAAUGAGUCAGUCAGAGAAAGACAAACACUAUGAUUUCACUGUUAUGUGCAAUGUAAACAAACAAACAAAAUUGAAGCAGGUUCAUAGAUACAGAGAUUAAUUUGCCAGAGGAGAGAGGGGUUGGGAGAAGGUGAAGGGAUUAAGAAGCACUAGUUGAUAGUUACAAACAGUCACGGGGAUAUAAGUUACAGCACAGAGAAUAUAGUCAGUAAUAUUUUAAUAACUAUGUAUGAUGCUAGGUUGGUAUUGAAAAUAUGGGGCGGGGGUGAACACUUUGUAAAGCAUAUGAUUGUUUAGCCACUGUGUUGUGCACCUGAAACAAAUACAAAAUAAUAUUCAAUAUAAAUAACUGAAAAAUAAAAUUAGAAAAAGAAAUAGUCAACUCCAAUUCAAAAGAAAUAAAAAGAAUAUUGUCA